UACAUGCAGUCGAGCGAAUGGAUUAAGAGCUUGCUCUUAUGAAGUUAGCGGCGGACGGGUGAGUAACACGUGGGUAACCUGCCCAUAAGACUGGGAUAACUCCGGGAAACCGGGGCUAAUACCGGAUAACAUUUUGAACCGCAUGGUUCGAAAUUGAAAGGCGGCUUCGGCUGUCACUUAUGGAUGGACCCGCGUCGCAUUAGCUAGUUGGUGAGGUAACGGCUCACCAAGGCAACGAUGCGUAGCCGACCUGAGAGGGUGAUCGGCCACACUGGGACUGAGACACGGCCCAGACUCCUACGGGAGGCAGCAGUAGGGAAUCUUCCGCAAUGGACGAAAGUCUGACGGAGCAACGCCGCGUGAGUGAUGAAGGCUUUCGGGUCGUAAAACUCUGUUGCCAGG
rnacentral:rRNA from 1 species